rnacentral:rRNA from 1 species
AGGCCUAACACAUGCAAGUCGAGGGGCAUCACGUCAAGGUGGCGACCGGCGCACGGGUGAGUAACACGUAUGCAACCUGCCGUUUACAGGGGGAUAGGCUUCCGAAAGGGAGAUUAAUACCGCGUAACACAAAUUUCCCGCAUGGGGGAGUUGUCAAAGGCGAAAGCCGGUAAAUGAUGGGCAUGCGCUGGAUUAGGUAGUUGGUGAAGGUAACGGCUCACCAAGCCCGCGAUCCAUAGGGGUACUGAGAGGUAAAACCCCCACACUGGUACUGAGACAGGGACCAGACUCCUACGGGAGGCAGCAGUGAGGAAUAUUGGUCAAUGGUCGGAAGACUGAACCAGCCAAGUCGCGUGAAGGAAGAAGGUAUUCAGUAUUGCAGACUUCUUUUAUACAGGGAUAAAAAGCCAUACGGGUAUGGCAUUGCAGGUACUGUAUGAAUAAGCAUCGGCUAACUCCGUGCCAGCAGCCGCGGUAAUACGGAGGAUGCGAGCGUUAUCCGGAUUUAUUGGGUUUAAAGGGUGCGUAGGUUGCAGCAUAAGUCAGCGGUGAAAAGUAAGGGCUUAACCCUUAUCGUGCCGAUGAAACUGUGCAGCUGGAGAAUACGCGAGGCAGGCGGAAUUCGUAGUGUAGCGGUGAAAUGCAUAGAUAUUACGAAGAACACCGAUAGCGCAGGCAGCUUGCCAGGCUACAACUGACACUGAAGCACGAAAGUGUGGGAAUCAAACAGGAUUAGAUACCCUGGUAGUCCACACAGUAAACGAUGAUUACUCGCUGUUUGCGAUAUACGGUAAGCGGCCAAGCGAAAGCGAUAAGUAAUCCACCUGGGGAGUACGCCGGCAACGGUGAAACUCAAAGGAAUUGACGGGGGCCCGCACAAGCGGAGGAACAUGUGGUUUAAUUCGAUGAUACGCGAGGAACCUUACCCGGGCUCGAACGGCUAUAGAAUAGAUAUGAAAGUAUUUAGCCAGCAAUGGCUGUAGUCGAGGUGCUGCAUGGUUGUCGUCAGCUCGUGCCGUGAGGUGUCGGCUUAAGUGCCAUAACGAGCGCAACCCUUACCAUUAGUUACCAGCAUUGAGAUGGGGACUCUAAUGGGACUGCCACCGUAAGGUGCGAGGAAGGUGGGGAUGACGUCAAAUCAGCACGGCCCUUACGUCCGGGGCGACACACGUGUUACAAUGGGAGGGACAGCAGGCAGCGAGACAGCGAUGUUGAGCGAAUCCUCUAAACCCUCUCCCAGUUCGGAUUGGAGUCUGCAACCCGACUCCAUGAAGCUGGAUUCGCUAG